AGGGCUGUGGCUCAGUGGUAGAGCGCUUGCCUAGCAUGUAUGAAGCACUGGGUUCGAAUCUCAGCACCACAU
rfam:Ictidomys tridecemlineatus contig031628, whole genome shotgun sequence.